ensembl:lncRNA
AUGAAGUCUUUCCAGAAGUGCUCUAGGAUGGGGCAGCUUGCUGCAACUAAUGGCAAUCAAGAAGACCAAAGGACGAGCGCGGUGGCUCAUGCCUAUAAUCCCAGCACUUUGGGAGACCAAGGCAGGCGGAUCACCGGAUCGGGAGUCAGCUUGGCCAACAUGGUGAAACACCGUCUCUACUAAAAAUACAAAAAUUAGGGGAGCCGUGGUGGCGGGCGCCUGUAAUCCCAGCUACUCUGAGGCUGAAGCAGGACUAUCGCUUGAACCCAGAAGGCGGAGGCUGCAGUGAACCGAAAUCACGCCACUGCACUCCCGCCUGGGCGAUAAGCGAGACCCUGCCCCAAAACAAACAAAACACCACUGGCUGUCACCGUCGUCUGCACAGUUAGACAUCUGUUGAAGCUGACGCGUAAUUUAGGAGGUGGUAAAAAUUCCCACCUCCUAAAUUACACAUCAAGGAGAGAAAAACGGUUCCGUACGGAGUGACUCCAGCAAUCCUGAGUUGUCUACCGGCUUCACUUCCGCUUCCUUCUGCUAAGACGGCUUUUACAGCCGGUACCGGAAGUACUGGCUGCAGCGACUUCCGGCCGUCUCGGUCUUAGUCGAGUCCGCGGAGUUUCCUGUCUUCCUACAUGCUGCAGUAACCGAGCGACCAAUUGAUUCAUAAGUUUAGCUGCUGUUUUUAUUGAAUUAAUUAAAACUUUUGAAAUCUAUUCUGUAAGAUCCUGAGAAAAAUUGCGGCUAUAGAAGCUGUUUUGAAAUGCGCUCGGCUUCCGACUCCCGCAAGGGGAGGCAGCUGUUUCUUGUGCAAGCAAUGCGGCACGCAAAGAGGAUGAAAAGGACGGAAAGGGAUUUGUGAUUUUAUUUGGAUUUUUUUCCCUCUUUAGGCUGAAACAUUUCUCUACUAUUUCUGGCACAUUCUGGGGAUGGGAUAGCUGCGAGUAGUUUGCAGUGCUCUCAUCAGCUGAUCUGAAUGCUCUUCGCUUGCUAGAAUCACAGCGUUUUGAUCGUGUUAAGAAAAAUGAUCAUGUUAAGGAAAAAAAGUCAUGAAUAGGGGUUAAACUUUAAGUAGCAAAAAGAUCGUUUUAAAAUGCAUACAUUUGAAAAUGGAGCCCUCCUUACAUAUGUAAAGUGUAAUUUGAGACAGUUUCUGAAUGGAAUUAAAAUACUCCAAGUUAGGAAAUUACACAACCCAGUGAAUUUAUUUCUGUAGGUUACUUUGCAAGGAUAGGUUGGUAACUGUAUACGUGGGUUGAUUGUGCUAGUUACAUCUGAAAGUCUCUUAAAUCCGGCUUCUGAAGUGGAAGUAUUAUGUGUGAGUGUUUUAUGUUUUAUGGAGCAGCAAGGUAAAAAACCAGGUGUUGAGAACUGGUGCGUUCGUCUGCACAGGCAAAGGUUGGAGAAAAAAGUAAGAGUAAAUCUGGGUAGGUUGAACAAACAGGCUGGAGCGUCUAGGAAGAAUUAUCCCCAGGCUAGUUCAGGUUUUUAACAGCUUUCAAGAAGGUGUACUUGCUGAACUUCUGGUACAGAAAAUUAUUUUACUGAGUAAUAAUUGUCUAAAGUAGUUUGCAUAGGUAAACUUAUCUUUCCUCAACUUUUCAUUCUCUGCUUCUCCCAAUGUUUUUCUCCUUCGCAUUGAUUUUUUUUCCCCCCGUUUUCAGUGUAGAGUAAGGUCCGGCGACUGAGUACAGAAAAAAUGCUCAGUUGGCACUUCACCAGUGAAUAUAACCAUGUACAAAGGGAAACUGGCUUAUUAAGAUAAAAACAAGACAAUUUUCCUGUCAACUAUAAACCUAUAAUAUCACAAUCAGAGAGGGUUUUAGGAAGUAGGGCAGGUUUUAUUUACAAAAAUAUUUGUGUGUGUAUAUUUGUCAGUUGAUAGAUGGUCUUCCAUAAAGAAGCAGGUACAAAUAGCUACAAUGGAACUGUAUAAAUCAACACAAGUGGGAAUUUAUUCAAGUUUAUUUAGUGAAUACUAAGUGCCAAAUAGUAGAGUAAGAAUUAUUACUUUAACACUAAAGAUAAAAGCAGAUUAAAAUGUUGUGAAUAAGUGCCAUUUACAUGCAAAUUACCAUAUUAAAAAGAGAUCUAAAACAAGCAAUACCUAGAUUCGUAAAUAGCAAUUUAAAAAUAAAUACCUACUUAAAAUACAUUCAAGAGGAUCAUCUUUUUUCUAGAGCUGAUUGUUGUUUCCUAACAUGAGGUAUUGUCUGACAGUGCCACUUCUCUCUUGUAAUUAAACGUACUCAGGGUUCAGAUUUGGUCAAGUAAUACAUUUCAGGUUCUCCAGAUACUAGCAUAAUACGUGGUGUGUAUUGAUUACUUAAAAGUAAAUUCAUUGAAGAGAAUCUAGGUACAUUUGGACUAAAACAGCAGUUUUAAUCAAACAUGUUGACAUUCUGUUCAGUAUGAUUUCUUCUUCUGUUUAUUCCAUUAUUUAUUCAGAUGGCUAUUGCUGUUUUCCCUUGUAUAAAUCCACGCACACUGAAUAUGCAAAUAUAUAGAGAAAAAAAUCAAGCCACCUUGUCAGUCACAAUUUGAGAUUGACAAGUAUUCAAUUGAAGAUCAGUUGAAUUUUUU